rnacentral:rRNA from 1 species
GUACACGCUGUGACUAGCAUAUCAAUAAGCGGAGGAAAAGAAACUAACAAGGAUUCCCCUAGUAACGGCGAGUGAAGCGGGAAGAGCUCAAAUUUGAAAUCUUAAAGGGUUUCCCUUUACGAAUUGUAGUUUAAAGAAGUGUCUUCUGUUGAGGUUUUGGUAAAAGUUCUUUGGAAUAGGACAUCAUAGAGGGUGAGAAUCCCGUAUUUGACCCUUACUUUCAGCUUUGUGAUACACUUUCAAAGAGUCGGAUUGUUUGGGAAUGCAGUCCAAAAUGGGUGGUAAAUUUCAUCUAAAGCUAAAUAUUGGCGAGAGAUCGAUAGCGAACAAGUACCGUGAGGGAAAGAUGAAAAGAACUUUGAAAAGAGAGUUAAACAGUACGUGAAAUUGUCAAAAGGGAAGCGUUUGACACCAGUGUUGUUUUUCUGAAAAUCAAUUAAAGAACUGUUUAUGCUAAGUUGUUUAGACUUUAUCAGCUAUCUGUUUAGUUUUGAGCUUUUCUUUAAUGCACUUUUCAGUUAACAAGUCAACAUCAAUUUCUUUUGCUGUAAAAAAGCUUGAGGAAGGUGGCUUGAGAUUCGUCUUAAGUGUUUAUAGCCUCUUGCCUAUGCAGUCGGAGAGAUUGAGGUCUGCAGCGUAGAUCCUUCGGGGCUAAAUGCAUUUGUGCUAAGUUAUAGCAUUUUAUAGACAACUUGUUGACUAUGAUUUGUCUUGUAGCUUACUCGCUUAUGUUAUUUUACCUACGCUUAGGAUGUUGACUGAUAUGUAGUCGUA